rnacentral:miRNA from 1 species
GUCAGCAGACACAUUCCAGCCAAUCAGCAGCAGACCCUCCCUCCCAGAUCCUCCCACCUUCUGGACAGCUCACUAAGAAUGCAGCUUCACAAUGAAUGUAAAAUGGAUGCUGUCCAGGAGGUGGGAGGGUCUGGGAGGGAGGGUCUGCUGCUGAUUGGCUGGAUUGUGUCUGCUG